AGUGAAUAGAUACCCGGUAGUCCACGCCGUAAACGAUGCACACUGAACGUCGGAGGCUCUGACGCUGCCGGCGUUGUAAGGAAAACUGCUAAGUGUGCCGCCUGGGGAGUACGGCCGCAAGGCUAAAAACUCAAAGGAAUUGACGGGGGCUCACACAAGCGGUGGAGCAUGUGGCUUAAUUCGAAGCAACGCGAAGAACCUUACCCGGGUUUGACAUGCUUGGAUGCAAAUCGGUAAUGCGAGGCGCUACCCUUCGGGGUGAAACAAGCACAGGUGUUGCAUGGCUGUCGUCAGCUCGUGCUGUGAAGUGUCGGG
rnacentral:rRNA from 1 species